rnacentral:snoRNA from 1 species
ACGACCUUACUUGAACAGGAUCUGUUCUAUAGGCUCGUACCGCUGCAUCCUUUACCAAUAAGGAGGCAAGCACUUUAGUUUGGUUGAUGCAAUCUCACCUCUAGGCCAGAGCGUCUUUAGUUUGGUUGAUGCAAUCUCACCUCUAGGCCAGAGCGUGAUUAACGGCAUUGAUGCACCUGAUGGGUGUCAUCUGAUGGCUGUAGAGGAUCGUUCCUGUCUGGCUCACACUAGUGCAGGGUGGCCCAGAGAUUGUCUGACAGACU